rnacentral:rRNA from 1 species
GAUGAACGCUGGCGGCGUGCCUAAUACAUGCAAGUCGAGCGAACGGACGAGAAGCUUGCUUUUCUGAUGUUAGCGGCGGACGGGUGAGUAACACGUGGAUAACCUACCUAUAAGACUGGGAUAAGUUCGGGAAACCGGAUCUAAUACCGUAUAAGAUUUUGAACCGCAUGGUUCAAAAGUGAAAGACUUUCUUGCUGUCACUUAUAGAUGGAUCCGUGCUGCAUUAUCUAGUUGGUAAUGUAACGGCUUACCAAGGGAACGAUGCAUAGCCGACCUGAGCGGGGGAUCGGCCACCCUGGAACUGAACCACGGUCCAGACUCCUACGGGAGGCAGCAGUAGGGAAUCUUCCGCAACGGGGGAAAGCCUGACGGAGCAACGCAGAGCGAGUGAUGACGGUCUUCGGAUCGUAAAAAUCUGUUAUUAGGGAAGAACAUAUGUGUAAGUAACUGUGCACAUAUUGACGGUACCUAAUCAGAAAGCAACGGCUAACUACGUG